UACGUAGGGGGCGAGCGUUGUCCGGAAUUAUUGGGCGUAAAGGGCGUGUAGGCGGGUACCUAAGUCAGUGGUGAAAACCGACGGCUCAACCGGAGGCAUGCCAUUGAAACUGGGUAUCUUGAGGGCAGGAGAGGAAAGCGGAAUUCCUAGUGUAGCGGUGAAAUGCGUAGAUAUUAGGAGGAACACCAGUGGCGAAGGCGGCUUUCUGGCCUGGCCCUGACGCUGAGGCGCGAAAGCGUGGGGAG
rnacentral:rRNA from 1 species